rnacentral:rRNA from 1 species
AACGAACGCUGGCGGCAUGCCUAACACAUGCAAGUCGAACGAGACCUUCGGGUCUAUUGGCGCACGGGUGCGUAACGCGUGGGAAUCUGCCCUUGGGUUCGGAAUAGCAGUUAGAAAUGACUGCUAAUACCGGAUGAUGUCGAAAGACCAAAGAUUUAUCGCCCAAGGAUGAGCCCGCGUAGGAUUAGGUAGUUGGUGGGGUAAAGGCCCACCAAGCCGACGAUCCUUAGCUGGUCUGAGAGGAUGAUCAGCCACACUGGGACUGAGACACGGCCCAGACUCCUACGGGAGGCAGCAGUGGGGAAUAUUGGACAAUGGGCGAAAGCCUGAUCCAGCAAUGCCGCGUGAGUGAUGAAGGCCCUAGGGUUGUAAAGCUCUUUUGUGCGGGAAGAUAAUGACGGUACCGCAAGAAUAAGCCCCGGCUAACUUCGUGCCAGCCGCCGCAGUAAAAC